GCAGAAAUGUCUAUUUAUCAAAUAGUUAUUAAUAGACAUGUGUAAAUUGUCAGGAAUAAGUCAUGAUACCAAUACACACAGCACCAUUCAUGUGAAUUGUACAGACAAUAAUUUUUAAAUUAAAUUGAAUACAAGAUUAAUGUUCUUUCGGGAAUAGUAUUUGGAAAAGUUGGAUAGAAAAUAAAAUGAAUGAGGAAAGCUGGC
rnacentral:lncRNA from 1 species